UCCCAGUUUAUCUGGGCAGUCUAGUUUGAGUGCCCUAUUUUUAUCUAGGGCAACAAACUACGGGGGUUGCGCUCGUUGCGGGACUUAACCCAACAUCUCACGACACGAGCUGACGACAGCCAUGCAGCACCUGUGCUAAGCGCGUAUUGCUACGCUAUAUAGCUUUCACUAUAGACACAAAGCAAGUCGAGCCCAGGUAAGGUUCUUCGCGUUGCAUCGAAUUAAGCCACAUACUCCACCGCUUGUGCGGGUCCCCGUCAAUUUCUUUGAGUUUUAAUCUUGCGACCGUACUUCCCAGGCGGCGUGUUUAACGCGUUUGCUACGGCACCGGGAGGGUCAACUCCACCGAUACCAAACACGCACCGUUUACAGCUAGGACUAC
rnacentral:misc_RNA from 1 species